UGGGGAAUAUUGGACAAUGGGGGCAACCCUGAUCCAGCAAUGCCGCGUGUGUGAAGAAGGCCUUCGGGUUGUAAAGCACUUUAGUUGGGGAGGAAGAUAUGUAUUUUAAGAGAUAACAUAUUUGACUGUACCCAAAGAAUAAGCACCGGCUAACUCUGUGCCAGCAGCCGCGGUAAUACAGAGGGUGCGAGCGUUAAUCGGAAUUACUGGGCGUAAAGGGCGCGUAGGCGGAUGAUUAAGUUAGAUGUGAAAUCCCUGGGCUUAACCUAGGAACUGCAUCUAAUACUGGUUAUCUAGAGUGCGGUAGAGGAUAGUGGAAUUUCCGGUGUAGCGGUGAAAUGCGUAGAUAUCGGAAGGAACACCAGUGGCGAAGGCGGCUAUCUGGACUGACACUGACGCUGAGGCGCGAGAGCGUGGGGAGCAAACAGG
rnacentral:rRNA from 1 species